rnacentral:rRNA from 1 species
AACGAACGCUGGCGGCAGGCUUAACACGUGCAAGUCGAACGCAUCCUUCGGGGUGAGUGGCAGACGGGUGAGUAACGCGUGGGAACGUGCCCUUCAGUUCGGGAUAACCCAGGGAAACUUGGGCUAAUACCGGAUACGUGCGAGAGCAGAAAGAUUUAUCGCUGAAGGAUCGGCCCGCGUCUGAUUAGCUAGUUGGUGGGGUAAUGGCCCACUAAGGCGACGAUCAGUAGCUGGUCUGAGAGGAUGAUCAGCCACAUUGGGACUGAGACACGGCCCAAACUCCUGCGGGAGGCAGCAGUGGGGAAUAUUGGACAAUGGGCGCAAGCCUGAUCCAGCCAUGCCGCGUGAGUGAUGAAGGCCUUAGGGUUGUAAAGCUCUUUCGUCCGGGACGAUAAUGACGGUACCGGAAGAAGAAGCCCCGGCUAACUUCGUGCCAGCCGCCGCAGUAA